CUUGAGGGAACCCUGGAGGCCACACAGCAGACAGUCAGCCGUGCAUCCUGCCUCCAUUCUACCUGGACUAAAUCACCACAUACAGACUAUUGGCGUUGAAGAGGGAGCAGGAUGCAGUGCAAGAGCCUGGAUCAUGGGAUCAGGCUCUGUCUCUGAACAGCUGUGUAACGUGUUCUCUCUGCAUCUCAGUGUCCUCGUCACUAAAAUGGGAAUGAGAAUCUGGCAAAGUGAUGGUGAGAAUGCUUAUUGAUAAAGCCCCUGGUCUAUGGCCAACAUUUCGUGAAUGGGGCUAUUGUUGCCACUAUGGACAGAACCUUAAAGAUCAUCUUCAGAGUUCUCAUUGUGGCUCAGUGGUAGUGAACUCGACUAGCAUCCAUGAGGACGAGGGUUCAAUCCCUGGCUUCACUCAGUGGGCUAAGGAUCCAGCAUUGCCAUGAGCUGUGGUGUAGGUUGCAGAUGUGGCUUGGAUCCUGAGUUGCUGUGGCUGUGGUAUAGGCCAGCAGCUGCAGCUCCCAUUCAACCCCUAGCCUGGGAACUUCCAUAAGCCACAGGGCCUUAAAAAAAAAAAAAAAAAAAAAGGAAAGAAAGAAGAAAGAAAGAAAGAGAAAAAGUUCAUCUUCAGAUUCCACUUUUUCAGAAGCAAGAAACUGUCCUAGAAGGACAGUGACUUGCCCAAGUUCUCACUGCAAAGUGAGCAAUGGAGGAAGAGGCACGGGGAGACUCCAGCCCCCAUGCCCUGCUCGUCGUAUCCUCCAAGGAGUCUUCCCUGAGCUCCAGUCCAGGCUGGGCCCCCUGUCCUGACCUCACAACCUCCACUGUCUGAGUCACCUACUGGGCCUUGCACUAGCUUUGUCUCCUGAGACAGGAUGUCCGCUACACAGGACCUGAGCCUCUUGCUCCUGCUCCAGCCUCCCCAACAAUAACCAUCACAAGGCCAGGUCCUCUGCAAGGUGUUCAGACCCCAGCAGGGAUGUUCCUGGGACCUGGCUGAAGCUAUGGUGACAUCAACUCCCCGGAUGGAGGGGAGAGAGAAAUCAGUUACACCCAGCUGUCUCCCUCCCCACCGCCAGUGCCCCUGGAUUAGGCGGGAAAGGAUCCCCGGCCUGCAGCCUGCACACGGCCCAUGGGGAACAGCGCCUGCAGCCCACGCCUCUGCGACAGCUGCGGAGUGUCAGCAGAAGGAAAGGGUUUUAUGCAGACGCAUGCAGGUUGAAAAAAGGAAGCCCUAAUCGCUCAGAGUGGAUGAACAGAUUCCCAUCGCUGUCCAGGGGUCUGGGGUUCAGGGCAGGAAUGCCGAGACAUCCGUGGAAGUUUUUAGCAGCACCUGAGUUUUGACUUCGAAACUAACCAUGUGUCUGAUUCCGAAAUAAUUCACUCCUGGGAGGUCAAAUUCACUGAGAGUUACCUUCCUUCGAGACUUGGUUUCAGGGACAGGGAGUUAGAAAAGGAAGUGCAUGCACCCGACUGCAGUGGUAAACAACAACAACAAAAAAAUCUCUGAGUGGAAGAAGAGAUGGCUGAGUACGAGUCUCCAGGUGAGAGAGGAUUCUUGGUAAAACCGGGGGUGUGGGGAACAGGGCUGAGCACAUGUUACGUCACCCAGACUAGAGGCACAAAGGGCAGGCUGGAUCUGAGGGUGCAGAGAGUCAGGGCACGUUAUGACUUUUAAGGGGGCAUACUGUUUAACAUAUUAAUUAUUCUCCCUUCCAUCCAUUGUACCAUCUUCCAUCCUAAGGCUCCUCUAGGAAUUUGAUUA
rnacentral:lncRNA from 9 species